UUAAGUUAAUUAGCGAUCAAAUCACUAAUUAAAUUUCUCAUAAAUAUUGAGUCCAAAUCCGAUGGAUAAUCGGGCAUCAGAAUUCAUCGAUAUGUAACCCUGAUCGAAGAGUCCUAAACCAGUGGAACUCUUGACCCCGGUACCCAAAAUGUGUGGAAUUCAUGAUCAGAGAAUCUUGAUUCUUGAUCACAGAAUCUCAGACAUGAAGAACUCUUCACCAGCUAUCAGAUCAGAUAGGAACCUCUAAUGUGUGUGACCC
rnacentral:lncRNA from 1 species